GUUGUCGCCUGUUGAACGAGGUGACCUUGCUCGGGUCCCAGGUGUACGGUUCCUAAAAUGGCUGCCAUAUACACGUCCACUGAUAGGAGACGCGGAAGGUAUUAAACUGAUCAGAACAAUACAAAACACACCACUAAUAAGGUUUCUCUCCUGUAUGGCUCCUCAAAUGAUGCUUAAGAUUAGAAGCGGCUGAAAAGCAUUUCUCACACAGGUAUUAAACUGAUAAAAAUAGUACCAAACACUCCACUCCUAUCUGGUGUCACAUUAGCUUGACC